GCUUUGGAGAAGAGAAAUACAACUGAACAUCUGAGAUAGUCAACAGAACAAAACUCACAAAAUAUUCAGAAGCAUGAAGAGAUGUAGAGUGUACACAAAUGUACAGAACCAAGUACUGAUAUCUGAAGCCUUUCAGAGAUGUGACUCAUGGUUUAAUCCCCCAAGGACCAGAAGCUCUACUUCAAAGAAAAAAGAAAAGUAAGAAAGAGCUGAAGUAUGGGAAUCUUUUCAACUGUUACAACGCUUCAAGGUAUAUUUGUUUUCCAUUCUUCACAAAGGGGAAGCUCAUACAUGGCCAUUGUGAUUUUGCUGACCCAAGGCCCCUACCAAGCUCCAUUUGUUGAGACAGAAUCCCUCAGAUGCAGGACAUCUACUGUUGAAGCAGUUAUCAGCAAGCUUUGGAACCCUCAGUAGA